GACAGAGGGGGCAAGCGUUGCUCGGAAUUACUGGGCGUAAAGGGCGCGUAGGCGGGAUGGCAAGUCGGUCGUGAAAUCCCUCGGCUCAACCGAGGAACGUCGAUCGGUACUGCUGUUCUUGAGGAUUGCAGAGGAGACUGGAAUUCCCGGUGUAGCGGUGAAAUGUGUAGAGAUCGGGAGGAACACCGGUGGCGAAGGCGGGGUCUCUGGGCAAUUCCUGACGCUGAGGCGCGAAAGCGUGGGAGCAAACGGG
rnacentral:rRNA from 1 species